CCCUUAGAUGUCCGGGGCUGCACGCGCGCUACACUGUAGAAAGCAGCGUGCUUUAAAACCUUUCCUGAAAAGGAUGGGUAACCCCAGCAAAAUUCUACGUGCUUGGGAUAGAGAUUUGCAAUUUUCUCUCUUGAACGAGGAAUUCCCAGUAAGCGCAAGUCAACAGCUUGCGUUGAUUACGUCCCUGCCCUUUGUACACACCGCCCGUCGCUACUACUGAUUGGAUGUUUAAGCGGGGUUCUCGAACUGCUAGCGACUUAGCUUCGGUGAGGUCGCAGUGUGGGAAGUGAACCUAGCUUUGGUGUCUAGAGGAAGUAAAAGUCGUAACA
rnacentral:rRNA from 1 species